UUGCCCUAGUAACGGCGAGUGAAGCGGCAACAGCUCAAAUUUGAAAUCUGGCUCUUUCAGAGUCCGAGUUGUAAUUUGCAGAGGGCGCUUUGGCGUUGGCAGCGGUCCAAGUUCUUUGGAACAGGACGUCACAGAGGGUGAGAAUCCCGUACGUGGUCGCUAUCCUUCGCCGUGUAAAGCCCCUUCGACGAGUCGAGUUGUUUGGGAAUGCAGCUCUAAAUGGGAGGUAAAUUUCUUCUAAAGCUAAAUACUGGCCAGAGACCGAUAGCGCACAAGUAGAGUGAUCGAAAGAUGAAAAGCACUUUGGAAAGAGAGUCAAAUAGCACGUGAAAUUGUUGAAAGGGAAGCGCUUGCAGCCAGACUUGCCUGUAGUUGCUUAUCCGGACUCUUGUCCGGUGCACUCUUCUAUAGGCAGGCCAGCAUCAGUUUGGGCGGUUGGAUAAAGGUCUCUGUCACGUACCUCCUUUCGGGGAGGCCUUAUAGGGGAGACGACAUGCAACCAGCCUGGACUGAGGUCCGCGCAUCUGCUAGGAUGCUGGCGUAAUGGCUGUAAGCGGCCCGUCUUGAAACACGGACCAAGGAGUCUAACAUCUAUGCGAGUGUUUGGGUGUCAAGCCCAGACGCGUAAUGAAAGUGAACGGAGGUAGGAACCCUUUGGGUGCACUAUCGACCGAUCCUGAUGUCUUCGGAAGGAUUUGAGUAAGAGCAUGGCUGUUGGGACCCGAAAGAUGGUGAACUAUGCUUGAAUAGGGUGAAGCCAGAGGAAACUCUGGUGGAGGCUCGCAGCGGUUCUGACGUGCAAAUCGAUCGUCAAAUUU
rnacentral:rRNA from 1 species